rnacentral:lncRNA from 1 species
GGUCCCGAUGCCCCGAUGAGGAGCUGCGAGCGGCUGGAGAUUGUUGGCGGUCGGCGAGGCAGGAGGGAGGCCUAAGAAGCAUUGGGGAGAGGUGAUUAGGCAGGACAUGACUAGAAUGGAGGUUUCCGAGGACAUGACCCUUGGUAGGAGAGUCUGGAGGUCUAGAAUCAGGGUUGUAGGUUAGGGGCUCUUAGAGUUCUUCGUACGCCUCAACCGGGGUUGGGUGUGGGUCAGCAGGGAUACCCAUAGAUGAU